rnacentral:rRNA from 1 species
GACGAACGCUGGCGGCGUGCUUAACACAUGCAAGUCGAACGGAAAGGCCCUGCUUUUGUGGGGUGCUCGAGUGGCGAACGGGUGAGUAACACGUGAGUAACCUGCCCUUGACUUUGGGAUAACUUCUGGAAACUGGGGCUAAUACCGGAUAGGAGCUCCUGCUGCAUGUUGGGGGUUGGAAAGUUUCGGCGGUUGGGGAUGGACUCGCGGCUUAUCAGCUUGUUGGUGGGGUAGUGGCUUACCAAGGCUUUGACGGGUAGCCGGCCUGAGAGGGUGACCGGCCACAUUGGGACUGAGAUACGGCACAGACUCGUACGGGAGGCAGAAGUGUGGAAUAUUGCACAAUGGGCGGAAGACUGAUGAAGCAACGCAGCGUGCGGGAUGACGGCCUUCGAGUGGUAAACCGCUUUCGCCUGUGACGAAGCGUGCGUGACGGUAAUGGGUAAAGAAGCACCGGCUAACUACGUG